rnacentral:misc_RNA from 1 species
GUAGGUGAACCUGCGGAAGGAUCAUUAUCAUAACGUAUCCACGUAUAAACUAACUUUAAUUGAUGUGAAACGUAACUGUUUAACACCUUCGAUAGUUAAUUGAUUGCUAUACUCUACUCUGUGUUUGAUUAAAGCAUAUUUGAGUAUGGACUUGGCUCGCUUUCGGGUGAGACUAGCAUUAACUGUUCGGAGUGUAAUUAACCAAUUUUAAUCAUUUUAUUUACCCAUUGAACCGAUUAACUAUUAUUAA